rnacentral:rRNA from 1 species
GGCGAACGCUGGCGGCGUGCUUAACACAUGCAAGUCGAACGGAAAGGUCCUGCUUUUGUGGGGUGCUCGAGUGGCGAACGGGUGAGUAACACGUGAGUAACCUGUCCCUGACUUUGGGAUAACUUCAUGAAACUGGGGCUAAUACCGGAUAGGAGCUACUGCUGCAUGGUGGGGGUUGGAAAGUUUCGGCGGUUGGGGAUGGACUCGCGGCUUAUCAGCUUGUUGGUGGGGUAGUGGGUCACCAAGGCUUUGACGGGUAGCCGGGCUGGGAGGGUCACCUGCCACAUUGGGACGGGGAUACGACCCGGACUCCAACGGGAGGGAGCAGUGGGGAAUGUUGCACAAUGGGCGGAAGCCUGAUGCAGCAACGCCGCGUGCGGGAUGACGGGCUGCGGGUUGUAAACCGCUUCCGCCUGUGACGAAGCGUGAGUGACGGUACUGGGUAAAGAAGCACCGGCUAACUACGUG